rnacentral:rRNA from 1 species
GACGUAGGGCGCGAGCGUUGUCCGGAUUUAUUGGGCGUAAAGAGCUCGUAGGCGGCUUGUCGCGUCGACCGUGAAAACUUGGGGCUCAACCCCAAGCCUGCGGUCGAUACGGGCAGGCUCGAGUUCGGUAGGGGAGACUGGAAUUCCUGGUGUAGCGGUGAAAUGCGCAGAUAUCAGGAGGAACACCGAUGGCGAAGGCGGCUCUCUAGUACGGUACUGACGCUGAGACGCGAAAGCGUGGGGAGCGAACAGG